rnacentral:rRNA from 1 species
GUUUGAUCCUGGCUCAGAUUGAACGCUGGCGGCAGGCCUAACACAUGCAAGUCGAACGGUAGACAGGAAACAGCUUGCUGUCUUCGCUGACGAGUGGCGGACGGGUGAGUAAUGUCUGGGAAACUGCCUGAUGGAGGGGGAUAACUACUGGAAACGGUAGCUAAUACCGCAUAACGUCGCAAGACCAAAGAGGGGGACCUUCGGGCCUCUUGCCAUCGGAUGUGCCCAGAUGGGAUUAGCUAGUAGGUGGGGUAACGGCUCACCUAGGCGACGAUCCCUAGCUGGUCUGAGAGGAUGACCAGCCACACUGGAACUGAGACACGGUCCAGACUCCUACGGGAGGCAGCAGUGGGGAAUAUUGCACAAUGGGCGCAAGCCUGAUGCAGCCAUGCCGCGUGUAUGAAGAAGGCCUUCGGGUUGUAAAGUACUUUCAGCGGGGAGGAAGGGAGUAAAGUUAAUACCUUUGCUCAUUGACGUUACCCGCAGAAGAAGCACCGGCUAACUCCGUGCCAGCACCCGCGGUAAUACGGAGGGUGCAAGCGUUAAUCGGAAUUACUGGGCGUAAAGCGCACGCAGGCGGUUUGUUAAGUCAGAUGUGAAAUCCCCGGGCUCAACCUGGGAACUGCAUCUGAUACUGGCAAGCUUGAGUCUCGUAGAGGGGGGUAGAAUUCCAGGUGUAGCGGUGAAAUGCGUAGAGAUCUGGAGGAAUACCGGUGGCGAAGGCGGCCCCCUGGACGAAGACUGACGCUCAGGUGCGAAAGCGUGGGGAGCAAACAGGAUUAGAUACCCUGGUAGUCCACGCCGUAAACGAUGUCGACUUGGAGGUUGUGCCCUUGAGGCGUGGCUUCCGGAGCUAACGCGUUAAGUCGACCGCCUGGGGAGUACGGCCGCAAGGUUAAAACUCAGAUGAAGUUGACGGGGGCCCGCACAAGCGGUGGAGCAUGUGGUUUAAUUCAGAUGCAACAGCGAAGAACCUUACCUGGUCUUGACAUCCACGGAAGUUUUCAGAGAUGAGAAUGUGCCUUCGGGAACCGUGAGACAGGUGCUGCAUGGCUGUCGUCAGCUCGUGUUGUGAAAUGUUGGGUUAAGUCCCGCAACGAGCGCAACCCUUAUCCUUUGUUGCCAGCGGUCCGGCCGGGAACUCAAAGGAGACUGCCAGUGAUAAACUGGAGGAAGGUGGGGAUGACGUCAAGUCAUCAUGGCCCUUACGACCAGGGCUACACACGUGCUACAAUGGCGCAUACAAAGAGAAGCGACCUCGCGAGAGCAAGCGGACCUCAUAAAGUGCGUCGUAGUCCGGAUUGGAGUCUGCAACUCGACUCCAUGAAGUCGGAAUCGCUAGUAAUCGUGGAUCAGAAUGCCACGGUGAAUACGUUCCCGGGCCUUGUGACACACCGCCCGUCACACCAUGGGAGUGGGUUGCUAAAAGAAGUAGUAGGCUUAACCUUCGGGAGGGCGCUUACCUACUUUGUGAUCCGUGACU